ACGGGAGGCAGCAGUAGGGAAUCUUCCACAAUGGGCGCAAGCCUGAUGGAGCAACACCGCGUGAGUGAAGAAGGUUUUCGGAUCGUAAAGCUCUGUUGUUGAAGAAGAACGUGCAUGAGAGUAACUGUUCAUGCAGUGACGGUAUUCAACCAGAAAGUCACGGCUAACUACGUGCCAGCAGCCGCGGUAAUACGUAGGUGGCAAGCGUUAUCCGGAUUUAUUGGGCGUAAAGAGAGUGCAGGCGGUUUCUUAAGUCUGAUGUGAAAGCCUUCGGCUCAACCGAAGAAGUGCAUCGGAAACUGGGAAACUUGAGUACAGAAGAGGGCAGUGGAACUCCAUGUGUAGCGGUGGAAUGCGUAGAUAUAUGGAAGAACACCAGUGGCGAAGGCGGCUGCCUGGUCUGUAACUGACGCUGAGACUCGAAAGCAUGGGUAGCGAACAGGAUUAGAUACCCUGGUA
rnacentral:rRNA from 1 species